rnacentral:rRNA from 1 species
UACAGAGGGUGCAAGCGUUAAUCGGAGUUAUUGGGCGUAAAGGGCGCGUAGGCGGCCACGCACGUCCGUUGUGAAAUCGCCCGGCUCAACUGGGCGGGGUCAGCGGAUACGGUGUGGCUCGAGCAAGCUAGGGGGCAAUGGAAUUCCCGGUGUAGUGGUGGAAUGCGUAGAUAUCGGGAGGAACACCAGUGGCGAAGGCGGUUGCCUGGAGCUUUGCUGACGCUGAUGCGCGAAAGCGUGGGGAGCGAUCCGG